GGACUCUCUUCCCUCUCAGCCUUUAAACAGAAUUUUAAAAGAAACAACUCGCAAAAUCACUGGAAUAACAUAAAAAUAAUAAUCCCAGUGAACGGUUGACUUUGUAAUUGUACUUUGCUAAUGUUGUAGUUCAAGAGAGAUAUUUUUUGCUAUGUACUAAAUAAUAAUAAGACUUUUCCUUUCUCUUUAGAAAUCAAUAAUAGGCU
rnacentral:misc_RNA from 1 species